rnacentral:misc_RNA from 1 species
CGCACAUUGCACCCAUUGGUAUUCCGAUGGGCACGUCUGUUUGAGCGUCAUCUCAACCCUUCGGCUGACCAUUUUGCUGUCACCCGGUCAUGAGCCUGACGCAUUUGUGUGCCGGCUUUAAAGUUGCACGCUCCGCGGGUCCACCCCACCAGCAAAACAUAUUAGAAUUGCUAACUGUUUUGGCAAGUGGCCGGUCAGGAUACCGCCUGAACAAACUUAUUUUUCUAAGGUUUGACCUCAGAUCAGACGAGGAUACCCGCUGAACUUAA